rnacentral:tRNA from 1 species
GCAUGAUCUUGCCUGGUGGUGAGUCAAGGCUUCAAACCUUGGGGGGCUUAGCGGCCCAGUUGUUCGAUUCAACCUUG